GAUGAACGCUGGCGGCGUGCUUAACACAUGCAAGUCGAACGAAGCACUUUAUUUGAUUUCCUUCGGGACUGAUUAUUUUGUGACUGAGUGGCGGACGGGUGAGUAACGCGUGGGUAACCUGCCUUGUACAGGGGGAUAACAGUUGGAAACGGCUGCUAAUACCGCAUAAGCGCACAGCAUCGCAUGAUGCAGUGUGAAAAACUCCGGGGGUAUAAGAUGGGCCCGCGUUGGAUUUGCUAGGUGGUGAGGUAACGGCCCACCAAGGCGGCGAUCCAUAGCCGGACUGGGAGGGGGACCGGCCGGAAUGGGACAGGGACAAGGCCCCAACGCCCACCGGAGGGAGGAGUUGGGGAAAAUUGACAAGGGGCGGAAGGCAGAAGCAGCGACGGCGGGUGGGCGGAGAAGGAUUUGGGUAUGGAAAGCUCCUGUCACAGGGAAGGAAAGGACGGUACCGGUAUAAGAAGCCCCGGCUACAAACGG
rnacentral:rRNA from 1 species